AUUGAACGCUGGCGGCAGGCCUAACACAUGCAAGUCGAGCGAGCGGCGGACGGGUGAGUAAUGUCUGGGAAACUGCCUGAUGGAGGGGGAUAACUACUGGAAACGGUAGCUAAUACCGCAUACCAUCAGAUGUGCCCAGAUGGGAUUAGCUAGUAGGUGGGGUAACGGAUCACCUAGGCGACGAUCCCUAUAUGGUCUGAGAGGAUGACCAGCCACACUGGAACUUCGAAACGGGCCAGACUCCUCCGGGAGGCAGCAGUGGGGAAUAUUGCACACGGGGCGCAAGCCUGAGGCAGCCAUGCCGCGUGGGUGAAGAAGGCUUUCGGGUUGUAAAGCACUUUCAGCGUGGAGGCGUUACCCGCAGAAGAAGCACCGGCUAACUCCGUGCCAGCAGCCGCGGUAAUAC
rnacentral:rRNA from 1 species